rnacentral:rRNA from 1 species
AUUGAACGCUGGCGGCAUGCCUUACACAUGCAAGUCGAACGGCAGCACGGGUGCUUGCUCCUGGUGGCGAGUGGCGAACGGGUGAGUAAUACAUCGGAACGUACCUUAUCGUGGGGGAUAACGCAGCGAAAGCUGUGCUAAUACCGCAUACGCCCUGAGGGGGAAAGCGGGGGAUCGCAAGACCUCGCGCGAUUAGAGCGGCCGAUGCCUGAUUAGCUUGUUGGUGGGGUAAAAGCCCACCAAGGCGACGAUCAGUAGCUGGGCUGAGAGGACGAUCAGCCACACGGGGACUGAGACACGGCCCAGACUUCUACGGGAGGCAGCAGUGGGGAAUUUUAGACAAUGGGCGCAACCCUGAUCCAGCAAUGCCGCGUGAGUGAAGAAGGCCUUCGGGUUGUAAAGCUCUUUUGUCAGGGAAGAAACACCGGCUCUAACACAGUCUGGGAAUGACGGUACCUGAAGAAUAAGCACCGGCUAACUACGUGCCAGCCGCCGCAGUAA